rnacentral:rRNA from 1 species
CGAGUUCGAUUGUAUUUGUAGAGUAAGCUUCGGAUGCGGUGGUGACUUAAGUUCCCUCGAACAGGACAUCAAAGAGGGUGACAAUCCCGUCGCGGUCAUCCACCCAAUCCAUGUGAAGCUACUUCUACAAGUCUAGUUGUUUGGGAAUGUAGCUCAAAAUGGGUGGUAUAUUUCAUCUAAAGCUAAAUAUCAGCCAGAGACCGAUAGCGCACAAGUAGAGUGAUAUAAAGAUGAAAAGCACUUUGAAAAGAGAGUCAAAGUUGCGGGCCAACAUCANUUUCGGNGGCCGGACAAAGGMCCGAAGAAUGUGGCUUCCCCCCGGGGGAGUGUUAUAGCUUCGGGUGAAAUGCGGCCCGCCGGGACUGAGGAAAAUUGCCCUUUAUGCUGGGAUGUUGGCAUUAUGGUCAUCAGCGUCCCGUCUUGAAACACGAGCCAAGGAGUUGUGCCAUCCCUCGAGCGUUAGGGUGUAAAACCCUUGCGCGGAAUGAAAGUGAAGGUAGGUGGGAGCUUUUUCCGCACCAUCGACCGAUCCUAGUUCGCGAGGAUUUGAGAAUGAGUGUGAUGGCACGGACCCGAAAGAAGGUGAACUAUUGCUGACUAGGCCGAACCCAGAGGAAACUCUGGGGGAGGGUCGCAGGGUUUCUGACGUGCAAAUCGAUCGUCAAAGCGGGCAAUGGGGGGGAAAGACAAAUCGACCCUUCUAGUAGCGGGUCCCUGUGAAAUUUUCCCUCAGGAUAGCAGCAACGAUAAACAUUCUCAUGAGGUAGAGCAACGUUUAGAGCCCGGGGGUUGUAACACCCUUAACCAUUUUCAAACCUCAAAUAUGUAAAGAAGUC